GAUGUGGCUCAGUGGUAGUGCGAAUGUCUGCGACACAGAAGGGUCCGGGUUCCAUUCCCGGUGGAUCA